rnacentral:tRNA from 1 species
UCCCUGGUGGCUCAGACAGUAAAGAAUCUGCCUGCAAAGCAGGAGACCCAGGUUUGAUCCCUGGGUUAGGAA